ensembl:misc_RNA 7SK 7SK RNA
GGAUGUGAGGGCGAUCUGGCUGUGACAUCUGUCACCCCACUGAUCGCCAGGGUUGAUUCAGCUGAUCUGGCUGGCUAGGCGGGUGUCCCCUCCUUCCUCAUUGCUCCAUGUGUCCCUCCCAGAAGCUGUGAGCUUGGUCAAAGAGGAUGGCCUUCCCCUAAUAGAGACAGACCCGUCUUCCUUCAGGGGUAUACUUGCACUUCCCUGCUAGAACCUCCAAACAAGCUCUCAAGACAUUCAGACCCAUAGAAGUUGUGACUUGCCCAGGAUCACACAGCUAGAAAAUGGCAGAACAUUAGUGGGAAUCUCCUUCUUUCCUUU